rnacentral:rRNA from 1 species
GAUGAACGCUAGCGGCAGGCUUAACACAUGCAAGUCGAGGGGUAGAAGUUGCUUGCAACUUUGAGACCGGCGCACGGGUGCGUAACGCGUAUGCAACCUACCUUUUACAGAGGGAUAGCCCAGAGAAAUUUGGAUUAAUACCUCAUAGUAUAUAACCUUCGCAUGUUGGUUAUAUUAAAGUUCCAACGGUAAAAGAUGGGCAUGCGUCCUAUUAGCUAGUUGGUGUGGUAACGGCACACCAAGGCGACGAUAGGUAGGGGUCCUGAGAGGGAGAUCCCCCACACUGGUACUGAGACACGGACCAGACUCCUACGGGAGGCAGCAGUGAGGAAUAUUGGACAAUGGGCGCAAGCCUGAUCCAGCCAUGCCGCGUGCAGGAAGAAGCAUCUAUGGUGUGUAAACUGCUUUUGUACAGGAAGAAACACCCCUUCGUGAAGGGACUUGACGGUACUGUAAGAAUAAGGAUCGGCUAACUCCGUGCCAGCCGCCGCGUAAAAC